AUUUAAGUAGGAUCACUCUCCCUGCAGUAUGAAAAGUGGGCAGGACACACAGAUUGGGAACAUGCUGGUGUCAACUGUGUCUUAGGUCCUGGGCAUCUAAGAUAACAGAAAUAAGUUAUUGCUGGCCAGUGACAGAGCGUGUAAAGGGAGGGGAGAGCUUCGAGAACUACAUAGGAGCUGACUUGGGUGGGCCAAGAGAUUUGUUUUACUAGAAGAGAGGGAAAAAAAUAAACUCUAAGAAAGACUCUAAGAGUUUUGGCUUAGAAAUUCCUGACACUCCCUGUGUUUUUCCAUUUAUUUACGGUGAUGUUACCCACUAUAAUUGCAUCUCCGUCCACAGCAACUUUCUUUGGUGUUCUCUGGACAAUCAUUUCCAAGGCAGGUGGCGGUACUGCAAAGCUUUGGAUCCUCCCGAGUGCUCCUUCCCCUUCUUAUUCAGAAAGAAAUUCAUUUACAAAUGUACGAAGGACUGCUAUAUUCUGGAUCGGAGUUGGUGUUCAUUGACAAAAAAUUACAACAAAGAUGGAAAGUGGAAGCAAUGUUCUCCUCAGAAGUAAGAUGCUUGGGACAUAAUGGGGUGGAAAGUUCACAGCUCUCUGGAAGCAGGGAACCCUCUGGAUUACUGCAGGUGGUAGCUUGAGGUCUAAAUCAUCUGGUGAUGACUUAGAUCAGGGAAGAUGGCAAACAUUUUCUGUAAAUGGCCCCCUAGUAAAUAUUUUAGGCUUAAUGGGCCGGUGGACUCCAUUGCAAGUACUCAGCUCUGCCUUUGUGAUGCGCAAGUGACCAUGGACAAUACUAAAACUAAUCAAAGUGGCCGUGUGCCAGUAAAAUUUUACCUGUGGGCUUUGAACUUGGAAUCUCCUAAAACUUGCAAAUGUCUUAAAGUAUUAGGAGUCCUCUGUUGUUGUUCUUGUUUUUUGGUCAAUCAUUUAAAAAUGAAAAAAAAAAAAAUUAACUAAAAGUCUGUAGGAAAACAAGUGGCAGGUUUCACUUGGCCUCUGGGACUUAGACAGCAUGUCCUUGUUUGCGCAAUCUGUCCUUGACCUCAAGUUGAUGAAGACACGAGGUUUGUUCCCAUUGAAAAAGCAGAUGCCUGAGAUGCAAGGCAGAGCACAACUGAGGGGAAACACAGGCAUUGCCAAUGACGGGCUGUGCUGCGCUUCGUUUUGGGCUUUUUAAAUUUAUUUUUUAUUUUUUAUUCUUUACAUUCAAUCUCUGUAUGUCUUUACAACAUGGAAAAUGAAUUUUCCCAGCAUGAAUACCCUGUCUGUUAGUCCAGUCAAAAAGUCCAGUCAAAAGAAUAUGGGAGUAUCCUUCAUCCGACUGCCACCCACAGCACGCAUGCUUUGAACAUUUAUGUCGUACCCCACACAGACGUACAACGAUUAAAUGUAAAUAAGAAUUGUAAAAUAAAAUAAAAUAGAAAAGAGGGAAUAAGGAAA